rnacentral:rRNA from 1 species
AUUGAACGCUGGCGGCAGGCCUAACACAUGCAAGUCGAGCGAGCGGCGGACGGGUGAGUAAUGUAUGGGGACUGCCCGAUAGAGGGGGCUAACUACUGGACACGGUGGCUAAUACCGCAUACUAUCGGAUAACACAUAUGGGAUUAGCUAGUAGGUGGGGUAAAGGCUCACCUACGCGACGAUCUCUAGCUUGUCUGAGAGGAUGAUCAGCCACACUGGGACUGAGACACGGCCCAGAAUCCUAUGGAGGCAGCAGUGGGGAAUAGUGUAGAAUGUGCGCAAGCCUGAUGCAGCCACGCCGCGUGUAUGAAGAAGGCCUUAGGGUUGUAAAGUACUUUCAGCGGGGAGUCGUUACCCGCAGAAGAAGCACCGGCUAACUCCGUGCCAGCCGCCGCGGUAAUUC